rnacentral:RNase_MRP_RNA from 2 species
UCCAUGGUCAAAGAACUGUCAACGAAGCCUUCUUAAGGAUAUUCUUAUAUCUACUUUUGCUUUGGGGAAAGUCUCCUGUCUAUACGCGGAAACGCAGCGGUUUCAUCCAACUGCUAUAUACUGUUCUAUCCACGUCGUGGCUGCCUAUCUGCGGAUCCGGGCUUGAUGUGCCAACUUUGGGGCUUGACCCGGUGGCCGGUGCACUAUUCUCAUUCGCUCCUCUUGAGUGUUUAUUGGCUUCGGCUGAGAUGACAUAGUGUAUCGCAACUAUCGAUACUCAGGGCUGGCUCGUACUGGAUCGGCACGGCACCUACCUCUUGGAUGGACUGUAUAUGUUUUUCCUACUGCUCUGCAGUAGUGAUCGUUCGACAAUGGGUGUUUGAAUCCUAGACCAUAGUUAUUUCAGUUGUACCGAUACUUGUAUCGGUAAACCCAAUGGAGCUUAUUCUUGAUCUAUGG